AGUGAACGCUGGCGGUAGGCCUAACACAUGCAAGUCGAACGGCAGCACAGGAGAGCUUGCUCUCUGGGUGGCGAGUGGCGGACGGGUGAGGAAUACAUCGGAAUCUACCUUUUCGUGGGGGAUAACGUAGGGAAACUUACGCUAAUACCGCAUACGACCUUCGGGUGAAAGCAGGGACCUUCGGGCCUUGCGCGGAUAGA
rnacentral:rRNA from 1 species